CCGCACGUCCCUUGCGCGCCGCCGCGUCACGCAGCUCUCCGCGCAGGCGCGCGGCGCGCUCCCCGCCGAGGUUCCCCUCGACGCCUGGGCCUCCGCGCAGCCGCACUGGAGCGGCUUCUGCCGCCGCCGUCUUCGCGCAGAUUACAGGGCCAGUUGCCUUUGUUACAAUAAAAGCAAGUCAUCUACACAGACAAACUGUGGCCUGGACCAGCUGGUGAAACAUAAUUCUGAAUCCUGCCCACAGGCUUUGGUGGUUUUGGAUGAAAGGCCAGCGCCUUGGGAGCCCUGCGUUUGAUUUCAAGUUUUAAGGCCAGCACUGGUGGAGCAAUGAACGCUGAAAGCUUUCCCCUUAAAGGAGCACAAUUGCCUUUAGGUGACUGCUAACUCCAGCUUUUGCUGAAGACAGUGUUUACUUUGUGAGCUUAAUGACAGGGCUGCCUUUCUGGGAGUGUUGCAAUGAAACAGACUCAGACAGAGGCCAUCACGGACCUCCUCCCUAGCAAGGCUGCCACGGCUGGCAUCUCAAGAACAGUCCAUUGAACUUGGGAUUUGGGUGUGAGACGCAGUUUCAUCAGAAGAAUUUAAACCAAAGUCUACAUUUGCCCUCAGGAUAAAUGUGUGUGUUCAGCAGCAACCACAACUCCUUGCCUCAUUCUCUUAGUUGAUUAUGUGACUGUGAGAAGAAAAGCAAAAGCAAAAAUGAGAAGCAUAGCUAUGAUGCUAUUUUAGUUAAAAAUAUUCUUGUAGAAUUUGAAGGUACCAUAGAGAUUACCUACAGAUGGAAAAAACUGAAGCUCAGAGAUGGGAAGUGACUUGUCCAAGAUCACACAGCAUAUAAGAGAAGAAGUAGGACUGAAAUCCAGAUUUCUCUGUUACUGGUCCUGUUUUCUCUUUUCUUUUUUUGAGACAGGGUCUCACUCUGUCUCCCGGGUUGGAGUGCAGUGGUGCAAUCUCAGCUCACUACAACCUCCAACUCUUAGGCUCAAGAGACCCUCCCACCUCAGCCUCCUCAGUAGCUGAGACGCCUGGCUAAUGUUUAUUUUUGGUAGAGAUAGGGUUUCACCAUGUGGUCCAGUCUUUUCUUGAACUCCUGAGCUCAAACAAUCCACCCACCUUGGCCUCCCGAAGCGUUGGGAAUACAGGUGUAAGCCAUCGCACCUGGCCAGGUCCUGGUCGCUUUUCAUUGUUAUACAGCUGUCAACAAUCAUGGAGAGUUCUUUUUCCCUUUUGUUGGGUUCUUGUUCCUUUGCAAAGUCUAAAAAGAACCAAGAUGAUCCAGGAAAUUCAGGGAGUCCUCAUUCACUUCCAAAGGCAACUUGUUGUCUGUUGGCUGUGCUGUAUGAAUUGCUGUUUCAAUUAAGUUUUUCAACAUUUCAUAUGAAGGCAUGCAAAUGGCCACUGAUUCUAAAUAAACCCAUUUAGGUAUUCAGGGUUUAUAAAUAUAGAGAAUCUUGCUUUCUGCCUCAUUCUUGCUGUCUUCCCUGGCAUUCUUCCCUCUAUCCACCUCCAUUGAGAUGCAUUUUUAUAAAAGACUUUACUUAGGACACAUAUUUUGAUGAAAUCCUUAACAUUUUUCUUCUUUCCCAAUUUUUAUAUUGUCAUUGUUAUAAUGCAUUAUAAUACUUUAUAUUUUGCAAAUUUGUUUUAAUAUGUUAAUUUUGCAAUGUAACUAUCUCAAGGCUUCUAAUGAGGAGAGGAGGAGACUACAGAUAGGACUAGAUAGAGAGACUUUUAAAGAUGUGGGUAGGGUGUUUGUGAAUGUCUGGGCAGUGGAAUAUUUAUGCAGUGCUGUGGGUGUUUUGAACCCUCUGGAAACUAACAAGCAAGCUCCACACAUAAACUUGAUGGAAGUCCUCCAAACUUUGGACAACACAGAGGCCUUUCAGAAGUCUGAACCAAAUCCAAGUCAAAUUAUAGCCCAGGACACUGGUGCAAAUGAGAGGCUGAGCAGAUCAGAAGAAAUGAUACUGGUCCAGGACCCCAGAAACCCAGGGCCUGGUGCCCGGUCUGCCACUUAGCAGUAAUUUCCUUGUCAGUAAAAAGGGAUGGUAAUAGGUCUUACCUCGUGGAGUUGCACUGAUGAGAAAAAUAAAAUAAUGUACGUAAAGUCCUGAGCACAAUGCCUGCCAUAUACUAGCACUUAUUAUUUGUAUGAGAUGCCAAUAGGCUUUUGGAGAAAAACACAUGAGAACUGGCAGUCAGUCAACUAGAGAUGGCCCCCACUUGAGUAGUGAGGCAGUAGGAUCACAGCCAUAGGCUUUGGAGUUAGACUUGCUUUUAGAUCCCAGCUCUGGCAUUUUCUAGCUGUGUGAUCAUGGGCAAGUCACCUGACUUCUUUUGGCCUCAAUACACAUCUCACAGGGUUAGUGCAUGGAUUAGUGAUGUAGCCCAUGUGAAGCCUCAGUACCUGGCAUGUAAUAGGUGCUCACUAUUAAGUGGUCACUGGUUCAGGUCCUUAGAGAAAGGAGCUGUAAGAAGCCAGAGGAGUGAGGCAGUUGAGCCAGUUGUAAAACUAGCGGGGUUAAUAAAAAAAAAAAAAAA